AUACGUAGGUCCCAAACGUUGCGCGAAAUUACUGGGCGUAAAGGGUCCGUAGGCGGUCUGGUAAGUGGAAGGUGAAAGCCUGGGGCUCAACUCCAGAAUUGCCUUCCAAACUGCCGGACUUGAGGCAGGGAGAGGUCGGCGGAAUUCCCGGUGUAGUGGUGAAAUGCGUAGAUAUCGGGAGGAACACCAGUGGCGAAGGCGGCCGACUGGAACUGUCCUGACGCUGAGGGACGAAAGCCAGGGGAGCGAACCGGAUUGGAAACCCUAGUAGUCC
rnacentral:rRNA from 1 species